UCCUGAUAUCUUAUCUCAGCGAGAUCCAGAGUGCCAAAAGUUAUGGGUAGAUAUCGAACGGCAUUACAGCCUUAAACCCAUUAACAUGGAUCCAAUCCAAACCAUUUUCCCAAAAGGUUCUUCUUGUCGUACACCCAAUCCAUAGCGCCCCUCAUUCUCACUUGGGAUAACCUAGAUCUUCAAAACACCAACAUCGUACCCCUCGGCCUAUUCAUCCGUUACUUUGGGGGCAAAAACUUACUGAGCGGGAUGAACAAUGAAUCAGAGGGUGGGGUGUGGACACAUCUCUGGUUAGCCAGCAAACAGUGGCGUCGUAUGAGGGUAGACCACACUUAGUCCUAGCAAGGGAGGACUUGUGCACGCUGAGACCACGUGCUUGGCUCAAUAACAUUGUGGUGCAUUGGAUGUGUUGCGCUUUCAAUGACUCAAGAUUAAAAAGAUUCACAUAUGACUUUUACUGCGUAUGUCCGAGGAUAUAGGAAAUGGUGAUGGUAUAAAAAAUCUGAUGGACUUUCAAGACGGGCCAACUCCCAUGUAUGUGGGAUUGGGUUAACACUAUGGUGCCGACACCAAGUAUUUCGACAAGGCAGCAGCUGCAAAGAGAAAAUGGGAGAGGCUCAUUGAAGACAUAGAUCAAGUGGCCAUCCCCACGAAUAAACUCACUAAAAGAGGCAUGCCUUGCACAUACACCUCUGUACCAAUACAACCAAAUGGGUGAGCCUUCCUCAAAGCCUACGAAUUUCUUAAAUUGUAAGUGUAACUGAGGUGCAAACAGGUUCUCCUAAUACAGUCCGUUGUUUCCAUUGACAUAGUUUUGAUUGUGGUGUGUACACAAUUAAAUUCAUGGAGUACUGGACCAAAGGUGGGAAACUAAAUGAAUGGAAUUAUGUGAGCUUCUAAAUUCUAAUGUUAAAUAACUGAAUAUCUAAACACACAUCACUGUCUGUCACUAAAUGCGGUUAUACAAUACUAAUUUUUGCAUGCAAGACACCAUCAAGCUAUACAGGCUGGAAAUAAUGCUUGAUAUCAUUCUGUGUAAUAAAAAUUUAGCCAUUGGAGAGGCACUGGAUGCCUUUGACAACCGUUCUCAACCUGCUACCUGCCGCAACCAACCUAGGAACAAACGUAAAGAGGUUAGGACACCGUUCAUAGCACCUGGCACAAAGAGCAUGCUAUGGCGAGCAGCAGGAUUACCAAAGAAAUCGCCCACCAAAAGGAGCUAAACAUGGAGAAAAAAAUAUGCAUAUAACAUUCUUAUUUACCUAGUCUUGGGAUACCCACAUAGGCUGAGCUAUUUUUUGUUAGAACUUGAAAUUUUUCUUGUCUUGCACACAGCGACUGUUUGUUAUAGAUUCUUUUGUUGUUAGCGGGUACUUGUUUUGUGAACCUUAUUGAACUUGGUUGGAUAAUUCACUAAGAAUGAAUGUAUUAUGGAUAUGAAUCCUCUCUAUCAGAGAUUGAUUUGUUCUAUUUUGCACAUGAUAAACACUUGAUACGUUUUAAAGAGUUUUAAUUGUCAGUGACCAAACAUGUUGAUGUUUCAAAGAGUUAUUUCUGCAUGUGUCUAGGUAUGGACGUAUCUUCUAAUACAGGUGUCCUUUGUUCUAUAUGGAUGUGUCUCCUGAC